rnacentral:rRNA from 1 species
GGGGGUGACGUUGUCCGGCAUAUUGGGCGUAAGGGCUCGCAGGCGGUUUCUUAAGUCUGAUGUGAAAGCCCCCGGCUCAACCGGGGAGGGUCAUUGGAAACUGGGGAACUUGAGUGCAGAAGAGGAGAGUGGAAUUCCACGUGUAGCGGUGAAAUGCGUAGAGAUGUGGAGGAACACCAGUGGCGAAGGCGACUCUCUGGUCUGUAACUGACGCUGAGGAGCGAAAGCGUGGGGAGCGAACAGGAUUAGAUACCCUGGUAGUCCACGCCGUAAACGAUGAGUGCUAAGUGUUAGGGGGUUUCCGCCCCUUAGUGCUGCAGCUAACGCAUUAAGCACUCCGCCUGGGGAGUACGGUCGCAAGACUGAAACUCAAAGGAAUUGACGGGGGCCCGCACAAGCGGUGGAGCAUGUGGUUUAAUUCGAAGCAACGCGAAGAACCUUACCAGGUCUUGACAUCCUCUGACAAUCCUAGAGAUAGGACGUCCCCUUCGGGGGCAGAGUGACAGGUGGUGCAUGGUUGUCGUCAGCUCGUGUCGUGAGAUGUUGGGUUAAGUCCCGCAACGAGCGCAACCCUUGAUCUUAGUUGCCAGCAUUCAGUUGGGCACUCUAAGGUGACUGCCGGUGACAAACCGGAGGAAGGUGGGGAUGACGUCAAAUCAUCAUGCCCCUUAUGACCUGGGCUACACACGUGCUACAAUGGACAGAACAAAGGGCAGCGAAACCGCGAGGUUAAGCCAAUCCCACAAAUCUGUUCUCAGUUCGGAUCGCAGUCUGCAACUCGACUGCGUGAAGCUGGAAUCGCUAGUAAUCGCGGAUCAGCAUGCCGCGGGUGAAUACGUUCCCGGGCCUUGUACACACCGCCCGUCACACCACGAGAGUUUGUAACACCCCGAAGUCGGUGAGGUAACCUUUUAGGAGCCAGCCGCCGAAGGUGGGACAGAUGAUUGGGUGAUCUAAACGGGGGAACCCCCAAAAAAAAAAGGGGGGGGAGGAACCCCCGGGGGUU